rnacentral:rRNA from 1 species
UACGGAGGGUGCAAGCGUUAUCCGGAUUCACUGGGUUUAAAGGGUGCGUAGGCGGGCAGGUAAGUCAGUGGUGAAAUCUCCGGGCUUAACCCGGAAACUGCCGUUGAUUCUAUCUGUCUUGAAUAUCGUGGAGGUAAGCGGAAUAUGUCAUGUAGCGGUGAAAUGCUUAGAUAUGACAUAGAACACCCAUUGCGAAGGCAGCUUACUACACGAUCAUUGACGCUGAGGCACGAAAGCGUGGGGAGCAAACAGG